rnacentral:lncRNA from 1 species
CAACCGGGAAAGAAGGGGAGGGAAGGAGGGGGAGGCUCUGCGUUGGCCACAUUUGCAUGAGGCCAGCCGAAGCCAGAUGGUCAGGGUGGUGGAGUGAGGCUGGCCCACCGCAGCUGGCGAGCAAACGAGCAAACGUGAAAAGUGGGGAUUCAGCUGGAUCUACUCUGUGACUCCGCAUCCAGACUGCAAGAUGGGGAGACUGCUGGAAGAAUCACAUGAGAUCAUGAUAUGGGCUGAACUGUAUCCCCCAAAAUUCAUGUAUUGAAAUCUUAAUCUCCAGGUCCUCAGAAUGUGACUAUAUUUGGAAAUAGAGUCUUUUUUAUUUUUUUAUUUUCAUUUUUAUUUUUGAAACAGAGUCUCGCUCUGUCACCCAGGCUGGAGUGCAGUGGCGUGAUCUCGGCUCACCGCAACCUCCACCUACCAGGUUCAAGUGAUUAUCCUGCCUCAGCCUCCCAGGUAGCUGGGACUACAGGCACGCACCACCAUGCCCGGCUAAUUUUUGUAUUUUUAGUAGAGACGAGGUUUCACCAUGUUGGCCAGGAUGGUCUCGAACUCCUGACCUCAGGUGAUCUGCCCACCUUGGCCUCCCAAAGUGAUUGGAUUACAGGCGUGAGCCACCAUGCCCAGCCUGGAGAUAGGGUCUUUAAGGAGGUAAUUAAGGUAAAAUGAGGUCAUGGCAGUGGACCCUAAUCCAAUGGCUGGUGUCCUCAUAUGAAGAGGUGACUAGGACACAGAGGUGCACAGAGAGAUGACAAUCUGAAGACACAGAGAUGAAAAAGAAGACAGCCAUCCUCAGAAGACAUGAACUCUGUUGACAUCUUGAUCUCCGACGUCUAGCCGCCAGAAUUGAACCCAGAGAUGAGACCUUUUGGGGGCCAAGGAAACAUUUCCGGGGGCCCUGAAGUUAUCAUGAGUUACUGGGGGUCACGGGCAAGGAUCUGGAAGAGAGACCACACACACACACAUUGCAGUUAUUAUUAUUAUUAUUAUUUUGAGACAGAGUCUCACUCUGUUGCCCAGGUUGGAGUACAGUAGCCCAAUCUCGGCUCACUGCAACCUCCUGGGUUCAAGUGAUUCUCGUGCCUCAGCCUCCAGAGUAGCUGGGACUACAGGUGUGCACCACCACACCCAGCUAAUUUUUUUGUAUUUUUAGUAGAGACAGGGUUGCACCAUGUUGGCCAAGCUGGUCUCGAACUCCUGAGCUCAGGCGAUCCAUCGCCUUGGCCUCCCAAAGUGCUGAGAUUACAGGCGUGAGCCACCGUGCCCGGUUCACACUGCAGUUAUUGAUCAUGGUGAGGGGACAGCGUCCAGUGGGAACUUGGCAGAAGAUCUGAUGAUCUCCCUUUCCCGGCCGCUUUGCCCUGUGGCCUGGAUGCCUGUCCCAGUCUGCCCUCUCUUUCCUGGGCCCUGCCCACGAGUGUCAACCUAAAAUAAUCAAAAGCCUCGGGAUCCAGUUAAAUUAGUUUAUUUAAAUGCAAAGUGUGAGGGUGGCCGUCCAGAGAAAUAUGGACACCAAAGAAUGGUGACCAGUGUUCCCCAGUGUGGGGAAAGGUAAGAAUCGUUUAUACAGGCAAGGGCCCUGCCCCUGGUACUUCCUGAGAAAUAGGGACAAGAGAGGUCACCCUCACCACACGGCCAGCCCUGGCUGGUCCCUGAAGACAUCAUCAGGCUCCACUGUGAGAAGCCUUGGAUUCCUCAUCCCAGAGCCCGCUUCAGAGUAACAGCUUUUCCCUAAAAGCAAAUUAAGGUCAGGGACCAUCAGGGACAGGAUGGGACGGGAGGAGCCUCACUGUACCCAGCUCUGGCCUACAAGCUGUGAACAAUCUUAGGAAUAUGCUAUGUGAGUAGAGCCCUGGGUUCAAAUCCCAGCUCCCAGCUCUCCCUCUUCCUAGCUGUGUGUCCUUGGGCAAGUCACUUCCCCUCUCUGGGCUUCAGUUUCUUCUUCCACACUAUGAUAGGGGUCAGGGUGGGAAUAGACUAUAUGGUGUCUAGUCUAUUUCCUCCUGGGCCUUCCCAGGAGAUGGGACUCUAAUAACCCAUCCUGGGUUCCCCUGAAAUACCUGGAUUAGAAGCCCUGUGAGAGCAGUGAGGCAUGGGGUCUCUUUAUUCCUAAUAACCCUGCAGAUGCCAGUCAUAGCCAGCUGACUGCUUUGUCCCCAUCCUGAGCCAGCCCCCAGCAGAAUGGGCGGGAAGUUGGCCUACCACUGGGAAAGCAACCCAGACACUCACGUGAGGGGCUUUUCCAGGCGGCUCCCAGGGGACCCCACAAUCUCUCCAAGGGUGCAGAAGGCCUGGCCCAGGAAAUCCUGCAUAUCCAGGGAACAGAAGAGACCAGUGUCACCCACUCUGCUCACAGCUAUCCCACCUCCCCCAUCGCCCAAUUCCUGGAAGCGUGAGGGCCCUUAAAUGACAGGACGCAGCGUCGGACACACAUUCCAUCACAGCAAAGCCCCAGGCUCACCCAGAGGAUGGCAUUUCAGAAACUAUGGAAUUGCUGAGCAGUUACUGGCAGAACUCACGUGUUUGGAUAAAUCAGGACUCUUAGAGUCAACGUCGUAUCUGCAGGGAACACAGAGAAACGAUGAAGGCAGCUGCGGACGUUCUGCCCAAUCCUGCCUGGGUUCUCAAGUUGAGUCAGGGCCCCUGUCCCCCAAAAAACAGGUCCCAACACAGUGAAUAUUUCUAGGAGUAAUGGUUGGAAGACAUGACAGGGAGCCUUCUGGGUGCUGGACAUGUUCUGUCCUUGAGCUGGGUGACAUCAGAG